GACAGAGGGUGCAAACGUUGCUCGGAAUUACUGGGCGUAAAGCGCGUGUAGGCUGACCGGAAAGUCGGGCGUGAAAUCCCUGAGCUCAACUCAGGAACUGCACUCGAAACUCUCGGUCUAGAGUGGUGGGGAGGGAAGUGGAAUUCCUGGUGUAGAGGUGAAAUUCGUAGAUAUCAGGAGGAACACCAGUGGCGAAGGCGGCUUCCUGGACACCAACUGACGCUGAGACGCGAAAGCGUGGGGAGCAAACAGG
rnacentral:rRNA from 1 species